rnacentral:SRP_RNA from 10 species
GCCAAGCAUGGUGGCGGGUGCCUGGGGUCACAGCUACUUUGGACACUGAGGCAGGAGCAUUGUUUUGAGCCCAGGAGUUCUGCGUGGUAGUGCACUGUGCUGAUAGGGUAGUCGCACUAAGUUUGGCGUCAAUAUGGUUAAUUCCUGGGAGCGGGAAUCAUCAGUUUGCCUAAGGAGGGGUGAACCAAGCCAAGUGAGAAACGGAGCAGGUCAAAAUUUCCAUUCUGAUCGGCAGUGGGUUCCACCUGUGAAUAGCCACUGCACUCCAGUCUGGAUACCAUAGCAAGACCCUGUCUCU